GGCGGUAUAGCUCAGUUGGUAGAGCGGCCGUGCCAGCAACUUGAAGGUUGCAGGUUCGAUCCCUGCUUCCGCCA